CUGAAAUUGAAGAGGUGGUCUGCCGUCUGUCUGUGCCACUUAUUGUUUGUGGACUGCAUUCCUUUUUUCAAUUUUAAAUCUCUGUGUUUUUUAAUUGUGCCACCAUUCUAAAUUCCAGAAAAUUAGCAGUUACAUGUGUCCAGGCGCCUCUUAUGGCAAUCCGCUUGUAUAUAUGCCGAAUAAUAAUUGCUUGGUUCUGCACUGCUUCGUUAAUUAGCACCUCCACCAGUGAACUUUAUCUUCUUGGCCUUUUUUUCUCACUACAUGUUGUCAGUGACAAGUGUGAUACCGCCACCUUUCCCAUCCUUUGAUGGGAAGUGUUUUAUCCAUAAAUGGUGGACUAGGGGUGUUUCUUUAUGUAAAGGAAGCUCAUCAGUACGGUAAUAAUUCUAUUUUUUGUCGGGAUGACAAUCAGCAUCAUAUGUAACAGGAAUGACGGCAACAAUUUAUGACUGCUGACUCUUUUGAUCGGUGCUACACUUCCUAGAGGGCAGCUUGUGGCUAUGCUUCUCUGUUUGAAUGCCGGAUUUAAAAGUCUCUGGAGAAGCACAGUGGCAGAUGGAGUUAACCCCCAGUGCUGACAACAGCCAUCAUAGAAGCUCUGGACGGCCUUGCUGGAAAUUGAGUGUCAGGUAUUUACUUGAGCGGAUUAAGCAGUGGCCCAAAGAUUGUACGGGUUAUUUCUUUAAUCCCUACAAUUCUGCUACAGUGUUACCGUCCUUCACCACCAUGUAAACACGGCCACAAGCUGUUUGGACCACACACUUUUUGUAUUGUGGUUUUUCUAAUAGCAGCGGACAUGUUAUGGCAGGUAACUCUCCAUUAUGUUGUUUCACAGUAUUAUUGCUGGAUUAUUAAGUUUAAAGACACAUUGCUGUUAUUGUGCAACCUGCUAUUUGUGAAAUGAAGAAACACUAAACCUUAUAAUGUGCCUGCAUACCAGUAUUAGCAUGUGGGCCAGGAUUAUUUUUACCUUUUUAUCAAAUACUGGUUAAGAGUGUGACUUGACAUCUGAUUUAUGCACAUGUGUCAAACAAACCAGAACACACAUAUCAUUUACACAUACUGCUCAAACAGGCAUAUUUUCAGAGGUAGAAGCUUCUCUGAUAUCUGUUUUUGGAAAAGCCUCCAUAAAUCUGUUUAAAAAUCACAUUUAAAAUAGCCGCAAUGCCUUCAUCUUGCCUCACAGACGUUUUCUUGUAAUGUAAUCCAGUCGAUUGUUGCGUUGUUGUGGUUAUGUUGCAACAGGAAGUGCUCAAAUGUGAUGUACCAUGCUGAUUUGAAGAAAUAAAAAAUAAAAAAGAAUAUCAUGAAGAAUGGUAGGAGCUGUAGUAUUGCCAAACAUAUUGAUCUCAAAUGGAAAAUAAAGAUAUAAAGAUAAACAAAGGUGACAACAUUGUAAGUUAGUUUUUUUUCAUUGUGCACUGUAAGUACAGUUUUUGUCAUUCC
rnacentral:lncRNA from 15 species